GGAAUCUUCCACAAUGGACGAAAGUCUGAUGGAGCAACGCCGCGUGAGUGAAGAAGGGUUUCGGCUCAUAAAACUCUGUUGUUAAAGAAGAACAUAUCUGAGAGUAACUGUUCAGGUAUUGACGGUAUUUAACCAGAAAGCCACGGCUAACUACGGGAGCCAG
rnacentral:rRNA from 1 species